rnacentral:snRNA from 1 species
UUUCUCUCUUUGGCAGCACAUAUACUAAAACUGGAACGAUACAGAGAAGAUUAGCAUGGCUCCUGAGCAAGCAUGACACGCAAAUUCGUGAAGUGUUCCAUAUUUUU